rnacentral:lncRNA from 1 species
GGAAGGGGUAGUGUGGGGCUGAUAAAGGUGACCCAGGACCUGUGGCUUCCUUUGACUUCCGAAGUUGACUGACAAAGAAGAUCAGGUGAAUUAGACUGGUGGUACCUAAAUGAUACUGGACAUCUGUGGUUUUGUUUUUGAAUUGCAUCUGGAAUGCUGCAGUCACCAGAGACAGCUUUGUGGGCUGCAGCAAGGAACUGUACACAGAAAGAGGGAUGAGUCCUUAGCCCUAAAGCAGCUUCUGCCUUAAGGAUAUCUGAAGUGCUGGGUAAUUCGGAUCCAUGUCUCAUAAUCACAUUUGGUUGGAUAUCAUCUCUUAAUUCUACCAUAAAUGUGUGAGGAACCUACUUGUGUUUAGAGUAUGGAGAUUAAAAUUAAAACUGUUUUCUCUGUUGUGUGGAUGUCAGUUUAACAAACUAACAAGGCACAGACAACUAUCAACUGAGAUGUCGAAUAAGGCAGUCAUUACAGCAGCUGGAAAGGCUGCUAUUCACUGCUGAAGGAAAUCCUUGCUUAGUCUGUGUCUGCAGGUAACAAUGAAUCUAUUAAAAUAAACUCUGGA